GCGGGUAUCGUAUAAUGGCUAUUACCUCAGCCUUCCAAGCUGAUGAUGCGGGUUCGAUUCCCGCUGCCCGCUCCA
rnacentral:tRNA from 21 species